rnacentral:rRNA from 1 species
AGCGAACGUUUGCGGCGGGCUUAACACAUGCAAGUCGAACGGGCUGUUCCUUCGGGGGCAGUCAGUGGCGCACGGGUGCGUAACACGUAGGUAAUCAACCCUCUGGUUGGGGAUAACACUUCGAAAGGAGCGCUAAUACCCGGUAUGGCGCAGCGGUCUUCGGAUCGCGGCGAGAAAGACCCCGCAAGGGGUUUGCCCAGAGGACGAGCCUGCGGCCCAUCAGCUAGUUGGCGAGGUAACGGCUCACCAAGGCGAAGACGGGUAGCUGGUCUGAGAGGAUGAUCAGCCACACUGGAACUGAGACACGGUCCAGACUCCUACGGGAGGCAGCAGUGGGGAAUAUUGCGCAAUGGGCGAAAGCCUGACGCAGCCACGCCGCGUGAGCGAUGAAGGCCUC